GAAAGGUGUGCUAAUACCGCAUACGCCCUGAGGGGGAAAGUGGGGGACCGCAAGGCCUCACGCUAAUCGAGCGGCCGAUGUCGGAUUAGCUAGUUGGUGGGGUAAAGGCUCACCAAGGCGACGAUCCGUAGCGGGUCUGAGAGGAUGAUCCGCCACACUGGGACUGAGACACGGCCCAGACUCCUACGGGAGGCAGCAGUGGGGAAUUUUGGACAAUGGGGGAAACCCUGAUCCAGCCAUGCCGCGUGUCUGAAGAAGGCCUUCGGGUUGUAAAGGACUUUUGUCCGGGAGGAAACCCUGAUCGUUAAUAGCGGUCGGGACUGACAGUACCGGAAGAAUAAGCACCGGCUAACU
rnacentral:rRNA from 1 species